rnacentral:rRNA from 1 species
UGCGUAGGCGGAUUAAUAAGUCAGUGGUGAAAACCUGCAGCUUAACUGUAGAACUGCCAUUGAUACUGUUAGUCUUGAGUACGGUCAAGGUAGGCGGAAUGUGUAAUGUAGCGGUGAAAUGCUUAGAUAUUACACAGAACACCGAUUGCGAAGGCAGCCUACUGGACCAUUACUGACGCUGAGGCACGAAAGCGUGGGGAGCGAACAGGAUUAGAUACCCUGGUAGUCC